rnacentral:rRNA from 1 species
AACGAACGCUGGCGGCAUGCCUAACACAUGCAAGUCGAACGAGACCUUCGGGUCUAGUGGCGCGCGGGUGCGUAACGCGUGGGAACCUGCCCUUAGGUUCGGAAUAACUCCCCGAAAGGGGUGCUAAUACCGGAUAAUGUCUUCGGACCAAAGAUUUAUCGCCUUUGGAUGGGCCCGCGUUGGAUUAGCUAGUUGGUAGGGUACAAGCCUACCAAGGCGACGAUCCAUAGCUGGUCUGAGAGGAUGAUCAGCCACACUGGGACUGAGACACGGCCCAGACUCCUACGGGAGGCAGCAGUGGGGAAUAUUGGACAAUGGGCGAAAGCCUGAUCCAGCAAUGCCGCGUGAGUGAUGAAGGCCUUAGGGUUGUAAAGCUCUUUUACCCGGGAUGAUAAUGACAGUACCGGGAGAAUAAGCUCCGGCUAACUCCGUG